GCUGGGUGUGAUGGUGCACACACCUGUAAUCCCAGCAGCUCAGGAAGCUGAGGCAGGAGGAUCGCAAGUUCAAAGCCAGCCUCAGAAACUUAGCAAGACUCUGUCUUAA
rnacentral:sRNA from 1 species